CCAUGUUUACAGCUCCAUCAAAAUAUAUAUUCCACAUACGACAUGCAUUGUCCUAAUAAUGUUGCUAUACUUUUAUUACCCCUUCAUCGGGGAAGUAUGUUUCCAAGGGUUUGAAAUCCCCUGCAGGUGCGGCGGCCAGUUGAGCCGCAAUUCCUUGACCUGUAAUGGACUUUUGCAUCACGUAUAUGAUGUCAAAUUGUUGUAGGAUCAACUGCCAUCUGGACAGCCGACAAAUCAAUAUGGGUUUACUGAACACGUACUUGAGAGGAUCCACGCGAGAUAUAAAAUGGGUUGUAUGACAAUGGAGGUAAUGCGGUAACCUCAUGGAAGC
rnacentral:lncRNA from 1 species